AGUCAACAGUAACAACUGGCCUCCAUAAAUUUUUGUCGUUUCACAUCACCAACACAGCUGUUUCAUUAUUGCAGAUCUUAUCAAAUCUUUUACUUUUUUGCUACAUUUUCAAAAAGAGUCGUUCUAUGUCUUUCAAUCUGAAAAUCUUAGGCGCUUCUUCUCCAUGUCUUUCAGUCUGAAAAUCUAAGGCGCUUCUUCUCCAUUGCACACCGGACAGAGCUUGGGAUGCCUCCUUCCAGAUGCAACAUCAGAGUGAAGAAUCGACUUGGAUGUCAAGAUUUUACCCCAACAUCUCAUACUACCAGCCCCGAUGCAGAUUUGAAAGAUUGUUGAUCAAAAUCCGCAUCAAAGUAAAUAGCCACAGUCGCCCUCUGUUCAUCAUGUUUAGGUCCCCUGCCUGUUUCCAGGAUUAAUUGUCCAGAGCCCGCAAAAAAAGAGGCGACAUUGCUCGUUUGUCCCUUGACUAAAAACCCAAGGCACUGCUGGAGAAUGUGAUUACUGUCUUCCUCUUUUGAUGACACCUAGGACACCGAUCUUCAACAGCCACUCUUUUUAACUUGAGAUUCAACAGAGUAGGGAUAUAGUUCCAAGAUAUUUCCAUACUGUAAAUUUAACUUUUGAAGGAAUGUUUAGAUUCCAUAGUUUCUUGUAAAAAGCUUCAGUAUCGGCCUGUAUAAAAUUACUAGGAUUUAGAGUAGUUUCCUGUAAUAGUUUAUAAGCACUCAUUACUGAGAAAUUUCAGAAAGGUUCUCCUCUCCAUACCUGGAAAUCAUCGUGGACUGACCUUGCCAAAGGGAUUUGCAUGAUUUUUCUAGCAAUAUUCGUAUGGAAGAUAUUGACAAUUAAUUCAGCCUUCCAAGUUCUAUUUGCUUCAUCAA